AGGUCAAGAUAAUAAGAGCAAAGGGCGAAUGCCUAGCCACCAGAAGCCGAAGAAGGACGUGGUAAGCUGCGAAAAGCUACGCCAAGCUGCAAACAAGCAAAAAAAGCGUAGAUGUCCGAAUGGGGAAACCCACUUAAGGUAAUGCUUAAGUAUCGAUAUGUGAAUAAAAUAGCAUAUACGAAGGUAAAGCAGGGGAACUGAAACAUCUAAGUACCCUGAGGAAAAGAAAGAAAAAUCGAUUCCCCGAGUAGCGGCGAGCGAAACGGGAAGAGCCCAAACCUAGCGGACGAAAGGAAGCUGGGGGUUGAGGAUACAGCAACAAAGUAGAUAGAAAUUGGUAGUAGAAUAGACCUGGGAAGGUCAACCGAAGAAGGUAAAAGUCCAGUAUACGAAACCAAAAGAAAUCGAAAGCUGUAAUCCAGAGUACCACGGGACACGUGAAACCCUGUGGGAAGCAGGGGGGACCACCCCCCAAGGCUAAAUACUAACUGGUGAGCGAUAGUGAACAAGUACCGUGAGGGAAAGGUGAAAAGAACCCCGGAAGGGGAGUGAAAAAGAACCUGAAACCCUUUGCUUACAAUCUGUGGGAGCCUGAAGUAAGUUUACUUACACGGGUGACCGCGUACUUUUUGUAGAACGGGCCAACGAGUUACGGUGUGCAGCAAGGUUAAAUGAUUAAGUCA
rnacentral:rRNA from 1 species